AUUGAACGCUGGCGGCAGGCUUAACACAUGCAAGUCGAGCGGGGAGAUGUAGCUUGCUACAUUUCCUAGCGGCGGACGGGUGAGUAAUGCUUAGGAAUCUGCCUAUUAGUGGGGGACAACAUUCCGAAAGGAAUGCUAAUACCGCAUACGCCCUACGGGGGAAAGCAGGGGAUCUUCGGACCUUGCGCUAAUAGAUGAGCCUAAGUCAGAUUAGCUAGUUGGUGGGGUAAAGGCCUACCAAGGCGACGAUCUGUGGCGGGUCUGAGAGGAUGAUCCGCCACACUGGGACUGAGACACGGCCCAGACUCCUACGGGAGGCAGCAGUGGGGAAUAUUGGACAAUGGGCGAAAGCCUGAUCCAGCCAUGCCGCGUGUGUGAAGAAGGCCUUUUGGUUGUAAAGCACUUUAAGCGAGGAGGAGGCUACUUGGAUUAAUACUCUAGGAUAGUGGACGUUACUCGCAGAAUAAGCACCGGCUAACUCUGUGCCAGCAGCCGCCGUAA
rnacentral:rRNA from 1 species